rnacentral:rRNA from 1 species
UGGGGAAUAUUGGACAAUGGGCGCAAGCCUGAUCCAGCAAUGCCGCGUGUGUGAAGAAGGCCUUCGGGUUGUAAAGCACUUUUAUCAGGAGCGAAACGCUGUCGGCUAAUACCCGGCGGAACUGACGGUACCUGAGGAAUAAGCACCGGCUAACUUCGUGCCAGCAGCCGCGGUAAUACGAAGGGUGCAAGCGUUAAUCGGAAUUACUGGGCGUAAAGCGUGCGUAGGCGGUUUCUUAAGUCUGCUGUGAAAUCCCCGGGCUCAACCUGGGAAUGGCAGUGGAUACUGGGAGGCUAGAGUGUGUCAGAGGGUGGUGGAAUUCCCGGUGUAGCGGUGAAAUGCGUAGAGAUCGGGAGGAACAUCAGUGGCGAAGGCGGCCACCUGGGACAACACUGACGCUGAGGCACGAAAGCGUGGGGAGCAAACAGGAUUAGAUACCCUGGUAGUCCACGCCCUAAACGAUGCGAACUGGAUGUUGGUCUCAACUCGGAGAUCAGUGUCGAAGCUAACGUGUUAAGUUCGCCGCCUGGGGAGUACGGUCGCAAGACUGAAACUCAAAUGAAUUGACGGGGUCAUAGCUGUUUCC